UCAACUUGAGAGUUUGAUCCUGGCUCAGAACGAACGCUGGCGGCAGGCUUAACACAUGCAAGUCGAACGCCCCGCAAGGGGAGUGGCAGACGGGUGAGUAACGCGUGGGAAUCUACCGUGCCCUGCGGAAUAGCUCCGGGAAACUGGAAUUAAUACCGCAUACGCCCUACGGGGGAAAGAUUUAUCGGGG
rnacentral:rRNA from 1 species